AUAGUACCGGUCAAAUAUUUGAAAAAAAGGGGUGCGAGUGUUUCAUAACCGGCACAUAUCAGGUAAAAGUGUAAUGGGACUUGUGCAGGUGUUUGGGGUGACUUUGGGCCUGUUAGAUAUGAUAUUUGGAGGUGCAAAGAAACCGGAUGUAACAUUUUCCUAGAUUGUAACUGCUCGUGCAUGCUGGGAGUCUACAAGCCUCAUGUUGAUGUUGUGAAGAUGCACUGGAUUUGACCGUGUGUGUUGUGGAUUGUGGAAUUGAAUAUACAGUUUGUAAUUGCUCAUCCUAUGUGUUCUAAUUACGGAGACAAUGUCUUUCAGUCAUUUCACCCAAGGAGGCAUGCAUAUACGGAUUUAUAGGCUUUGAUAACAAACAACCAAAAUGGCGGCCGGACUGAAUUAGAAAGUGUCUGAGUGCAUGUAGGAUAUCUGAACGGAGAAUAGGAGUACUGCAUCCCAUCUGAUCCUGCAGUCAUUUCACCCAAGGAGGCAUGCAUAUACGGAUUGAUAGGCUUUGACAACAAACAACCAAAAUGGCGGCCGGUGACCAUUAGAAAGUGUCUGAGUGCAUGUAGGAUAUCUGAACGGAGAAUAGGAGUACUGCAUCCCAUCUGAUCCUGCAGUCAUUUCACCCAAGGAGGCAUGCAUAUACGGAUUGAUAGGCUUUGACAACAAACAACCAAAAUGGCGGCCGGUGACCAUUAGAAAGUGUCUGAGUGCAUGUAGGAUAUCUGAACGGAGAAUAGGAGUACUGCAUCCCAUCUGAUCCUGCAGUCAUUUCACCCAAGGAGGCAUGCAUAUACGGAUUGAUAGGCUUUGACAACAAACAACCAAAAUGGCGGCCGGUGACCAUUAGAAAGUGUCUGAGUGCAUGUAGGAUAUCUGAACGGAGAAUAGGAGUACUGCAUCCCAUCUGAUCCUGCAGUCAUUUCACCCAAGGAGGCAUGCAUAUACGGAUUGAUAGGCUUUGACAACAAACAACCAAAAUGGCGGCCGGUGACCAUUAGAAAGUGUCUGAGUGCAUGUAGGAUAUCUGAACGGAGAAUAGGAGUACUGCAUCCCAUCUGAUCCUGCAGUCAUUUCACCCAAGGAGGCAUGCAUAUACGGAUUGAUAGGCUUUGACAACAAACAACCAAAAUGGCGGCCGGUGACCAUUAGAAAGUGUCUGAGUGCAUGUAGGAUAUCUGAACGGAGAAUAGGAGUACUGCAUCCCAUCUGAUCCUGCAGUCAUUUCACCCAAGGAGGCAUGCAUAUACGGAUUGAUAGGCUUUGACAACAAACAACCAAACUGGCGGCCGGUGACCAUUAGAAAGUGUCUGAGUGCAUGUAGGAUAUCUGAACGGAGAAUAGGAGUACUGCAUCCCAUCUGAUCCUGCAGUCAUUUCACCCAAGGAGGCAUGCAUAUACGGAUUGAUAGGCUUUGACAACAAACAACCAAAAUGGCGGCCGGUGACCAUUAGAAAGUGUCUGAGUGCAUGUAGGAUAUCUGAACGGAGAAUAGGAGUACUGCAUCCCAUCUGAUCCUGCAGUCAUUUCACCCAAGGAGGCAUGCAUAUACGGAUUGAUAGGCUUUGACAACAAACAACCAAAAUGGCGGCCGGUGACCAUUAGAAAGUGUCUGAGUGCAUGUAGGAUAUCUGAACGGAGAAUAGGAGUACUGCAUCCCAUCUGAUCCUGCAGUCAUUUCACCCAAGGAGGCAUGCAUAUACGGAUUGAUAGGCUUUGACAACAAACAACCAAAAUGGCGGCCGGUGACCAUUAGAAAGUGUCUGAGUGCAUGUAGGAUAUCUGAACGGAGAAUAGGAGUACUGCAUCCCAUCUGAUCCUGCAGUCAUUUCACCCAAGGAGGCAUGCAUAUACGGAUUGAUAGGCUUUGACAACAAACAACCAAAAUGGCGGCCGGUGACCAUUAGAAAGUGUCUGAGUGCAUGUAGGAUAUCUGAACGGAGAAUAGGAGUACUGCAUCCCAUCUGAUCCUGCAGGUAAGUGUUUAUUUGUUUACAAUGACAGUCGGGAUGGAAUGUCAAUGAGUUCAACUGUCAAGUAAAGUUGCAUCAUCAUUAUAAAAAAAAA